UCCAAUUGUAACGAGGUGGAUGACUCGAUAAUGUUCCAACUGUAACGAGGUGGAUGGCUCGAUAAUAUUCCAACUGUAACGAGGUGGAUGACUCGAUAAUAUUCCAACUGUAACGAGGUGGAUGACUCGAUAAUAUUCCAACUGUAACGAGGUGGAUGGCUCGAUAAUAUUCCAACUGUAACGAGGUGGAUGACUCGAUAAUAUUCUAACUGUAACGAGGUGGAUG